CCACUCCUUCCCAUCCCGAACAGGACAGUGAAACGACUUUGCGCCGAUGAUAGUGCGGGUUCCCGUGUGAAAGUAGGUCAUCGUCAGGC
rnacentral:rRNA from 2 species